CUAAACAUUCAGAGGAACAAGCAUUGCUCAAGAAAAUAGGAGUGAUAAGACGAUUGUGUGUGUGGAUCGAAAACCAUAGAGACCAUUGUGAGUAUCUUGAAGAGGUUUGUUUUCUCAAAAAUAGUACCAAUGUCAGUCCCCUAACAAAAAAAAUUAAAAAAAAAACGAAAAUGGCGGUCGUACCAGGACUGUCCUUCUUCUCUUUCUUCACUAAUCGCGGACUCCACUGACACAUGACGGCCUGCGAUUAGUUGCUUUUCUGUUGUUUUUUAAAGAAAAAUCUUUAAAAAAAAAUUAGUUUGUUU
rnacentral:lncRNA from 1 species